UACGGAAGGCAGCAGUGGGGAAUAUUGCACAAUGGGCGAAAGCCUGAUGCAGCUAUGCCGCGUGUAUGAAGAAGGCCUUAGGGUUGUAAAGUACUUUCAUCGGGGAGGAAAAAACAAAACUAAUAAUUUUAUUUCUUGACGUUACCCGAAAAAGAAGCACCGGCUAACUCCGUGCCAGCAGCCGCGGUAAUACGGAGGGUGCUAGCGUUAAUCAGAAUUACUGGGCGUAAAGAGCACGUAGGUGGUUUUUUUAAGUCAGAUGUGAAAUCCCUGGGCUUAACCUAGGAACUACAUUUUUGAAACUGAAAUACUAGAGUAUCGUAGAGGGAGGUAGAAUUCUAGGUGUAGCGGUGAAAUGCGUAGAUAUCUGGAGGAAUACCUGUGGCGAAAGCGGCCUCCUAAACGAAUACUGACACUGAGGGUGCGAAAGCGUGGGGAGCAAACAGGGAUUAGAUACC
rnacentral:rRNA from 1 species